rnacentral:rRNA from 1 species
CACUGGGAUAGCCUCGGGAAACCGAGGUUAAUACCGGAUACUCCAUAUUUGUCGCAUGGCGAAUAUGGGAAAGCUCCGGCGGCAAAGGAUGGGCCCGCGGCCUGGUUAGCUAGUUGGUGGGGUAGUGGCCUACCAAGGCAAUGAUGGGUAGCCGGGUUGAGAGACCGACCGGCCAGAUUGGGACUGAGACACGGCCCAGACUCCUACGGGAGGCAGCAGUGGGGAAUCUUGCACAAUGGGCGAAAGCCUGAUGCAGCGACGCCGCGUGCGGGAUGAAGGCCUUCGGGUCGUAAACCGCUUUCAGCAGGGACGAGGCCGCAAGGUGACGGUACCUGCAGAAGAAGCCCCGGCUAACUACGUGCCAGCAGCCGCGGUAAAU